rnacentral:lncRNA from 1 species
GGAUAGAGGUCGACGACCAAGAGGACUUUCAUUGGCUGAAGGACAUGUCGAUGCCGAAGUAGAAAGAGCUUGUAACCGAGUAGGCCCUUUAUGAUGCCGGCCUUAGUUCGGUUCAUCGUCUAGGUAUAGUAUAGCUGAUCAGUUAUUUUUGAUUUUUCUUUUACUUGCUGAAUUGUACUGAUCUCUAUUGUACUUGCAGCCAUGCAGCAGAGGGUGUGGGUGUCGAGUACUGACAUUUGUCAGCACGUUGCCAAGAAGAGGGUAGUAUCUGAAGCCAGGUCUUC